GCCUCUGUAGCUCAGUUGGUUGGAGCACUGCACCGGAAUCGCAGGGCCGUAGGUUCAAUUCCUACCAGAGGAC